UGAAUACGAGAUGCUACGGCGUCGAAGCAGUCUAUGUCAUACUUCCAAGAAAAGCUUGCACUGUCAUAAACAAAUAAUGCCUGUACCAUAACCGACACAGGUGGGUAGGUAGAGUAUACUAAGGGGCGCGAGAUAACUCUCUCUAAGGAACUCGGCAAAAUGACUCCGUAACUUCGGGAGAAGGAGUGCCUUAUUUAUAAGGUUGCAAUAACAAGAUCCAAGCAACUGUUUACCAAAAACACAGGUCUCCGCUAAGUCGUAAGACGAUGUAUGGGGGCUGACGCCUGCCCAGUGCCAGAAGGUUAAAGAAGUUGGUUAGCAUCCGCGAAGCUGAUAACUGAAGCCCUGGUGAACGGCGGCCGUAACAAUAACGGUCCUAAGGUAGCGAAAUUCCUUGUCGGGUAAGUUCCGACCCGCACGAAAGGCGUAAUGAUUUGGAUACUGUCUCGGAGAGGGGCUCGGUGAAAUAGACUUGUCUGUGAAGAUGCGGACUACCUGCACCAGGACAGAAAGACCCUAUGAAGCUUUACUGUAACCUGAAAUUGAAGUUGGACUUUACUUGCGCAGUAUAGGUGGGAGGCGUUGAGAAUAUUCUUGCGGGAUUAUUGGAGCCAUCAGUGAGAUACCACUCUUGUAAUGUUAGAUUUCUAACUUUGUAUCAUUAUCUGGUCAAAGAACAGUUUCAGGCGGGCAGUUUGACUGGGGCGGUCGCCUCCUAAACGGUAACGGAGGCGCACAAAGGUUUCCUCUGAACGGGUAGAAAUCGUAUCUAGAGUGUAAAGGCAUAAGGAAGCUUGACUGUGAGACCUACAAGUCGAGCAGGGACGAAAGUCGGUCUUAGUGAUCUGACGGUGCUGAGUGGAAAGGCCGUCACUCAACGGAUAAAAGUUACUCUAGGAUAACAGGCUGAUCUCCCCCAAGAGUUCACAUCGACGGGGAGGUUUGGCACCUCGAUGUCGGCUCAUCGCAUCCUGGGGCGGUAGUACGUCCCAAGGGUUGGGCUGUUCGCCCAUGAAAGCGGUACGCGAGCUGGGUUCAGAACGUCGUGAGACAGUUCGGUCCAUAUCCGGUGUAGGCGUUAGAAUAUUGAGAGGAGCCUUCUUUAGUACGAGAGGACCGAGAAGGACAUACCUCUGGUGUACCAGUUAUCGUGCCAACGGUAAACGCUGGGUAGCUAUGUGUGGAGUGGAUAACCGCUGAAAGCAUCUAAGUGGGAAGCCCACCUCAAGAUAAGUAUUCU
rnacentral:rRNA from 1 species